rnacentral:rRNA from 1 species
GAACGCUAGCUACAGGCUUAACACAUGCAAGUCGAGGGGCAGCAUUUUAGUUUGCUUGCAAACUAAAGAUGGCGACCGGCGCACGGGCGAGUAACACGUAUCCAACCUGCCGAUAACUCGGGGAUAGCCUUUCGAAAGAAAGAUUAAUAUCCGAUAGUAUAUUAAAACCGCAUGGUUUUACUAUUAAAGAAUUUCGGUUAUCGAUGGGGAUGCGUUCCAUUAGUUUGUUGGCGGGGUAACGGCCCACCAAGACUACGAUGGAUAGGGGUUCUGAGAGGAAGGUCCCCCACAUUGGAACUGAGACACGGUCCAAACUCCUACGGGAGGCAGCAGUGAGGAAUAUUGGUCAAUGGACGAGAGUCUGAACCAGCCAAGUAGCGUGAAGGAUGACUGCCCUAUGGGCUGUAAACUUCUUUUAUAUGGGAAUAAAGUAUUCCACGUGUGGGAUUUUGUAUGUACCAUAUGAAUAAGGAUCGGCUAACUCCGUGCCAGCAGCCGCGGUAAUACGGAGGAUCCGAGCGUUAUCCGGAUUUAUUGGGUUUAAAGGGAGCGUAGGUGGAUUGUUAAGUCAGUUGUGAAAGUUUGCGGCUCAACCGUAAAAUUGCAGUUGAAACUGGCAGUCUUGAGUACAGUAGAGGUGGGCGGAAUUCGUGGUGUAGCGGUGAAAUGCUUAGAUAUCACGAAGAACUCCGAUUGCGAAGGCAGCUCACUAGACUGCAACUGACACUGAUGCUCGAAAGUGUGGGUAUCAAACAGGAUUAGAUACCCUGGUAGUCCACACAGUAAACGAUGAAUACUCGCUGUUUGCGAUAUACAGUAAGCGGCCAAGCGAAAGCAUUAAGUAUUCCACCUGGGGAGUACGCCGGCAACGGUGAAACUCAAAGGAAUUGACGGGGGCCCGCACAAGCGGAGGAACAUGUGGUUUAAUUCGAUGAUACGCGAGGAACCUUACCCGGGCUUAAAUUGCAUUUGAAUAAUCUGGAAACAGGUUAGCCGCAAGGCAAAUGUGAAGGUGCUGCAUGGUUGUCGUCAGCUCGUGCCGUGAGGUGUCGGCUUAAGUGCCAUAACGAGCGCAACCCUUAUCUUUAGUUACUAACAGGUCAUGCUGAGGACUCUAGAGAGACUGCCGUCGUAAGAUGUGAGGAAGGUGGGGAUGACGUCAAAUCAGCACGGCCCUUACGUCCGGGGCUACACACGUGUUACAAUGGGGGGUACAGAAGGCAGCUACCUGGCGACAGGAUGCUAAUCCCAAAAACCUCUCUCAGUUCGGAUCGAAGUCUGCAACCCGACUUCGUGAAGCUGGAUUCGCUAGUAAUCGCGCAUCAGCCAUGGCGCGGUGAAUACGUUCCCGGGCCUUGUACACACCGCCCGUCAAGCCAUGAAAGCCGGGGGUACCUGAAGUACGUAACCGCAAGGAGCGUCCUAGGGUAAAACUGGUAAUUGGGG